UGCUAGAACUCAAUAGUAAAAUUCAAAAGAAGGCGUUCAACCCUCACCCAGGAUCUCAUCAACCCUCACCCAGCCUCUCACCCAUCACUCAUCUCUGCUUUCCAGUUGCAGGUGAUCAUGGGAGAUGCUAGAGAAUGCUGAACUCCAUAGUGUACUUUCCCAAGGUUGUGACAGUGUGUGACUUUUCAGUGACUUAGCUGUUAUUGAGUCACCCACAUUCCUCAACACUUGUCUCUAAAAGCACACUCUAUGUCCUGAAGUAUGGCUGCCCUUCCCAUGCCUCCUGGAGGUCCACUGGCCACUUCUCCAGAGAAGAAGAUGGAACUGGAACUCCAUGGGCUGCUCCCCUCACACUGGUUCCAAGGAGACAGCUUAUGAUGUUGCUUUGAAGAUGAUGCUUUCAAAACUCUCAGAGGUGCCAAGAAGCUGUAGCAGGUUGGAAAGAGCCUGAGGAGAGAUCUGAGGGUUGCCUGUGGGGUUUGGAGGGCUACCCUGUAAAAAGGAACAGAACAACCUGAGGAUUUAUUGUCAGGGAUUCCUUCACCCAGCAGUUUCAUUUGAUUCAUGAAGUUGUUGAAUAGGUGUUGGGGCUUGUCUGAGAUUGCUGGGAAUGACAGAAAAACUGGUUUGUUGAAUAUUAUUUUGACUGCAAUGCUACCACACAAGAGAACAAGUACUCCACUGGAGGGAAGGCUCCCUUUUGAUGUCACUAUGUGACUAGGAGCUGUCACGCUCAGGAGCAUCCAUACAACACUGUUCAAUUGAAAUUUGUGAUCUUGUGUAUAAGCUUAACAUUUCUACAAAUCACCUUAAAAUAUGAAUAGGGCAAGUUAGCCUAUUAAUGUAUUUUACUUAACACAACAGAUUUAAAUGGUUUCAGCAUUCAAUCUCAGUAUUCAUUAUGAGUUGUUAAUAUUGUAUUUUACAUCCCAUGUUGCUGAUGAGUUUUUUGUACUCAAGGAAUUGCUUUAUUGUAGACAGAAGUUUCUAUCCUGCUGGGUCCCACAGUGGUUUAGUCCCAAAUAAAUAAACAGAGGCUUAUAUUAAUUAUAAACUGUUUGGACAAUGGCUUAGGUUUCUUAUUGGCUAGCUCUCUCUUAAUUAUUAACCUAUUUCUAUUAAUCUGUUAAUCUGUAUAUCUCCAUACCAUCUUGUCUUACUGGUGAUUCCUGGAUCUCUUUCUUUUUUGGCAUCUUCAUAUGGAGUUGCCCUGACUCUGACUACUACUUUUUUCUAGUCUUGUUUGGAUUUCCCACCUGCCUAAAUCCUGCAUGUCCAUUGGCCAGAACAGCUUUAUUCAUCAACCAAAAGAGAAACAUAUAUUCACAGCACAGAGAAGGACGUUCCACAUCACUUGAUUUAGACUACAUACAUUUCAAAAGUUUAGAAAGUCAUAAGUACUGUGUCAGGAGAUACAAAGGACUAGGUGACUACAAACAUACUGCUCCUUGAUAGGCAUUCAUUGAACAACUAAGCAACUAAGUCCUUGGCAGUGACAAUUUGUGGUGGUGGGUGGGGCAGACAGUGAGAAUGCCUUAGUGAUUGUGGAAGAGACUCCAUUUUUAUUAUGUUCAGCAGAAGGUGAUGAUUAAUCUAUCAUUAAGAACAUAGUAAUUUACAUUUGACCAAAGUCAUAUUGUUCCACAUACAUUGUUGGCUGUAUGUAAAUACAGAGUUUAUUCAUUAUACUUAACUAAAACAUAUUUAAUGAUUCAUAACUCCUCAGUUCCAGCCCCCCAUUUAUCCUAGAAAUAGUCAGUCCAGUCUUUCAUUCUAUAAAUUCGGCUCUUCUCAGGUGUUUGAAAUAAAUUAAAAUCCGG